GACGAACGCUGGCGGCGUGCCUAAUACAUGCAAGUCGAACGCAGUGGCGGACGGGUGAGUAACACGUGAGUAACUGCCCCCCUCUCUGGGAUAACACUUGGAAACGGCUGCUAAUACCGCAUAGUUGGGGAUGAGUUGGGUCCUAUCAGCUUGUUGGUGGGGUAGUGGCCUACCAAGGCGACGACGGGGAGCCGGCGUGGGCUGGCGACCGGGCACAUUGUGCUGGGAUACGGGCCAAACCCCUACGGGAGGCAGCAGUGGCGAAGAUUGCACAAGGGGGGAAACCGUGAUGCAGCAGCGCCGCGGGCGGGAUGACUGGCUUCGGGUUGUAAACCGCUAUCAUCCAUUACGCGGUAGUGUAAGAAGAAGCACCGGCUAACUACGUGCCAGCAGCCGCGGUAAUAC
rnacentral:rRNA from 1 species